GAUGAACGCUGGCGGCGUGCCUAAUACAUGCAAGUCGAGCGAACAGACGAGGAGCUUGCUCCUCUGACGUUAGCGGCGGACGGGUGAGUAACACGUGGAUAACCUACCUAUAAGACUGGGAUAACUUCGGGAAACCGGAGCUAAUACCGGAUAAUAUAUUGAACCGCAUGGUUCAAUAGUGAAAGACGGUUUUGCUGUCACUUAAAGAUGGAUCCGCGCCGCAUUAGCUAGUUGGUAAGGUAACGGCUUACCAAGGCAACGAUGCGUAGCCGACCUGAGAGGGUGAUCGGCCACACUGGAACUGAGACUCGGUCCAGACUCCUACGGGAGGCAGCAGUAGGGAAUCUUCCGCAAUGGGCGAAAGCCUGACGGAGCAACGCCGCGUGAGUGAUGAAGGUCUUCGGAUCGUAAAACUCUGUUAUUAGGGAAGAACAAAUGUGUAAGUAACUAUGCACGUCUUGACGGUACCUAAUCAGAAAGCCACGGCUAACUACGUG
rnacentral:rRNA from 1 species